UCCCCUGUAGCUCAGUUGGUAGAGCGAGUGGCUGUUAACCACUAUGUCCGAGGUUCGAGUCCUCGCGGGGGAG
rnacentral:tRNA from 3 species